UUUUCCUACACGACGCUCAUCCUGAUCUGCGCCAAAGGACUUUUUCGGGAUCUUUAGGAGGAUAUUGGAGUUGUAUUUACCUUAUUUUAACC